UACCCACAGCACAAGUGGUGGUCAUUAUUAUUGGGCCUAAAGCGUCCGUAGCUGGCCUGUUAGAUGCCUGGGUAAAUCGAUGCGCUCAACGUAUCGAACUCCGGGUAGACCGGCAGGCUUGGGACCGGGAGAGGCGUGAGCUACUCGGGGGGUAGGGGUAAAAUCCUGUAAUCCUCCGGGGAGGACCAGUGGCGAAGGCGUCACGCUAGAACGGCUCCGACAGUGAGGGACGAAGCCCUGGGGCGCAAGCCGG
rnacentral:rRNA from 1 species